rnacentral:rRNA from 1 species
CGGCGUGCUUAACACAUGCAAGUCGCACGAGAAAGCUUCAGCUUGCUGGAGCAAGUAAAGUGGCGCACGGGUGAGUAACGCGUGGGUAAUCUACCCUCGAAUUGGGGAUAACAUCGCGAAAGCGAUGCUAAUACCGAAUGAAAUCCUGAAAAUACAUGUUUUCGGGAUCAAAGAUGGCCUCUACAUGUAAGCUAUUGUUUGGGGAUGAGCUCGCGUACCAUUAGCUUGUUGGUAGGGUAAUGGCCUACCAAGGCUACGAUGGUUAGCUGGUCUGAGAGGAUGAUCAGCCACACUGGAACUGACACACGGUCCAGACUCCUACGGGAGGCAGCAGUGAGGAAUUUUGCGCAAUGGGGGAAACCCUGACGCAGCAACGCCGCGUGAGUGAUGAAGGCUUUCGGGUCGUAAAGCUCUGUCAAGUGGGAAGAAUCCAUAUGGUGUUAAUAUCACCGUAUGCUGACGGUACCACUGAAGGAAGCACCGGCUAACUCCGUGCCAGCAGCCGCGGUAAUACGGGGGGUGCGAGCGUUGUCCGGAAUCAUUGGGCGUAAAGGGCAUUCAGGUGGGUCUUUAAGUCAGUUGUUAAAUAUUACGGCUUAACCGUAUUAUGCAAUUGAUACUGGAGAUCUUGAGUUUGAGAGGGGACAGUGGAAUACCUAGUGUAGCGGUGGAAUGCGUAGAUAUUAGGUAGAACACCAGAGGCGAAGGCGACUUUCUGGACCAAUACUGACGCUGAGGCGCGAAAGCGUGGGGAGCAAACAGGAUUAGAUACCCUGAUAGUCCACAGCUGUAAACGAUGUCAACUAGGUGUUGGGGGUGUUGACCCCUCCAGCGCCGCAGCUAACGCAUUAAGUUGACCGCCUGGGGAGUACGGUCGCAAGAUUAAAACUCAAAGGAAUUGACGGGGGCCCGCACAAGCGGUGGAGUAUGUGGUUUAAUUCGAUGCAACGCGCAGAACCUUACCUGGUCUUGACAUCCCGAGAACGUCUAAGAAAUUAGAAAGUGCUUCCUUUCGGAAGAACUCGGUGACAGGUGCUGCAUGGCUGUCGUCAGCUCGUGUCGUGAGAUGUUGGGUUAAGUCCCGCAACGAGCGCAACCCACGUCUUUAGUUGCCAUCAUUAAGUUGGGCACUCUAGAGAGACUGCCGGUGUCAAACCGGAGGAAGGUGUGGAUGACGUCAAGUCCUCAUGGCCUUUAUGACCAGGGCUACACACGUACUACAAUGGCAUGUACAAAGGGCAGCUAACUCGCGAGAGUACGCGAAUCCCAUAAAACAUGUCCCAGUCCGGAUUGGAGUCUGCAACUCGACUCCAUGAAGUUGGAAUCGCUAGUAAUCGUGGAUCAGCAUGCCACGGUGAAUACGUUCCCGGGCCUUGUACACACCGCCCGUCACACCACGAAAGUCGGUUGUACCAGAAGU